CCUACGUGUGGCAGCAGUGGGGAAUAUUGCGCAAUGGUCGAAAGCCUGACGCAGCGACGCCGCGUGAGGGAUGAAGGUCUUCGGAUCGUAAACCUCUGUCAGCAGGGAAGAACGGUCACUGUGCUAAUCAGCAGUGAAUUGACGGUACCUGCAAAGGAAGCACCGGCUAACGCCGUGCCAGCAGCCGCGGUAAUACGUAGGGUGCGAGCGUUAAUCGGAAUUACUUGGUGGAAAGGGUGCGGAGGCGGGAUGGCAAGUAAAGGGUGAAAUCCCCGCGCUCAACGUGGGAACUGCCUUUGAAACUGGCAAACUCGAGUGUGUGAGAGGAUAGUGGAAUUCCCGGUGU
rnacentral:rRNA from 1 species